UACGAAGGGGGCUAGCGUUGUUCGGAGUUACUGGGCGUAAAGGGCGCGCAGGCGGCUGCUCAAGUCAGGCGUGAAAGGCCUGGGCUCAACCCGGGAAUUGCGCUUGAGACUGGGCUGGCUUGAGUGCGGGAGAGGAUGGUGGAAUUCCCAGUGUAGAGGUGAAAUUCGUAGAUAUUGGGAAGAACACCGGUGGCGAAGGCGGCUUGCUGGGCCAGUUCUGACGCUGAGGAGCGAAAGCGUGGGGAGCGAACAGG
rnacentral:rRNA from 1 species